rnacentral:lncRNA from 13 species
UCUAAACCAAAUGUUCUAAGACAAAUACCCUAGCAAAAUAAUAGAAGGCAAAGGGAUUAUAGGGUAUCAUUAGAUGUGUCUGGCUAGGAGAGCACUCAGGCUGUGACACUGUACAGUGCUACAGAAUCUGAAAAAGGAAAUGCAGCCAGAAAUGCCGUGACUUCACAUCCUGCUGCUUAAACAUGAGGUCGUGAAUCUUUUUCUCGGUUCUAUCUGAAGCCAGCCUCAGCAGCUCAUCACAACAAUCACGCCAAGUGAUGAACACGGAUGAGUACCAGCGUUUUGAAUAAAGACUCAAAGAUCAAGGAAAAAAACAAUUUUAUUUGAAAGUUGCAUCUUCCAGGAAGUCUUGUAGCAUGGAAGGCUCCCUCCCUGCCUGUUUCUUAUCGAAAGAGGUUGUAGCUGGGUAAGUGAGAGUCUGACGAGA